rnacentral:rRNA from 1 species
GUAGGGAAUCUUCCACAAUGGGCGAAAGCCUGAUGGAGCAACGCCGCGUGUGUGAUGAAGGGUUUCGGCUCGUAAAACACUGUUGUAAGAGAAGAAUGACAUUGAGAGUAACUGUUCAAUGUGUGACGGUAUCUUACCAGAAAGGAACGGCUAAAUACGUGCCA